UACGUAGGUGGCAAGCGUUAUCCGGAUUUAUUGGGUGUAAAGGGCGUGUAGGCGGGAGCGCAAGUCAGAUGUGAAAACUCAGGGCUCAACCCUGAGCCUGCAUUUGAAACUGUGUUUCUUGAGUGCUGGAGAGGCAAUCGGAAUUCCGUGUGUAGCGGUGAAAUGCGUAGAUAUACGGAGGAACACCAGUGGCGAAGGCGGAUUGCUGGACAGUAACUUACGCUGAGGCGCGAAAGCGUGGGGAGCAAACAGG
rnacentral:rRNA from 1 species